rnacentral:rRNA from 1 species
UACGGAGGGUGCGAGCGUUGUCCGGAAUCACUGGGCGUAAAGGGCGCGUAGGUGACGCGAGUAGUCAACGGUGAAAGCCCGGGGCUCAACCCCGGGUCGGCCGUCGAUACUCUCGUGCUUGAGCACUGUAGAGGCAGGUGGAAUUCCGGGUGUAGCGGUGGAAUGCGUAGAGAUCCGGAAGAACACCGGUGGCGAAGGCGGCCUGCUGGGCAGUAGCUGACACUGAGGCGCGACAGCGUGGGGAGCAAACAGG